GAUGAACGCUAGCUACAGGCUUAACACAUGCAAGUCGAGGGGCAGCAUGAACUUAGCUUGCUAAGUUUGAUGGCGACCGGCGCACGGGUGAGUAACGCGUAUCCAACCUGCCCUUGUCCACCGGAUAACCCGUCGAAAGGCGGACUAACACGGUAUGCAGUCCACAGCAGGCAUCUAACGUGGACGAAAUGCGAAGGAGAAGGAUGGGGAUGCGUCUGAUUAGCUUGUUGGCGGGGUAACGGCCCACCAAGGCGACGAUCAGUAGGGGUUCUGAGAGGAAGUCCCCCANAUUGGAACUGAGACACGGUUCCAAAACUCCCUACGGGAGGCAGCAGUGAGGAAUAUUGGUCAAUGGACGGAAGUCUGAACCAGCCAAGUAGCGUGCAGGAU
rnacentral:rRNA from 1 species